rnacentral:rRNA from 1 species
UACGAAGGGGGCUAGCGUUGCUCGGAAUUACUGGGCGUAAAGGGCGCGUAGGCGGAUGUUUAAGUCGGGGGUGAAAGCCCAGGGCUCAACCCUGGAACUGCCUUCGAUACUGGACAUCUUGAGUACGGGAGAGGUGAGUGGAACUCCGAGUGUAGAGGUGAAAUUCGUAGAUAUCGGGAGGAACACCGGUGGCGAAGGCGGCGACCUGGGUAGAUACUGACGCUGAGGCGCGAAAGCGUGGGGAGCAAACAGG